rnacentral:rRNA from 1 species
UACAGAGGUCUCAACCGUUGUUCGGAUUCAUUGGGCGUAAAGGGUGCGUAGGCGGUCGCGCAAGUCGGAUGUGAAAUCUCAGGGCUCAACCCUGAAACUGCAUUCGAUACUGCGUGGCUAGAGUGCUGGAGAGGAGACUGGAAUUUACGGUGUAGCAGUGAAAUGCGUAGAUAUCGUAAGGAAGACCAGUGGCGAAGGCGAGUCCCUGGACAGCAACUGACGCUGAGGCACGAAGGCCAGGGGAGCAAACGGG